rnacentral:rRNA from 1 species
UACGAAGGGGGGCUAGCGUUGCUCGGAAUCACUGGGCGUAAAGGGUGCGUAGGCGGGUCUUUUAAGUCAGGGGUGAAAUCCUGGAGCUCAACUCCAGAACUGCCUUUGAUACUGAAGAUCUUGAGUUCGGGAGAGGUGAGUGGAACUGCGAGUGUAGAGGUGAAAUUCGUAGAUAUUCGCAAGAACACCAGUGGCGAAGGCGGCUCACUGGUCCGAUACUGACGCUGAGGAGCGAAAGCGUGGGGAGCGAACAGGA